rnacentral:rRNA from 1 species
CCUGGUUGAUCCUGCCAGUAGUCAUAUGCUUGUCUCAAAGAUUAAGCCAUGCAUGUCUCAGUGCAAGCCAUAUUAAGGUGAAACCGCGAAUGGCUCAUUAAAUCAGUUAUGGUUCCUUAGAUCGUACCACAAGACUUGGAUAACUGUGGUAAUUCUAGAGCUAAUACAUGCAAACAGAGUCCCGACCAGAAAUGGAAGGGAUGCUUUUAUUAGAUCAAAACCAAUCGGCCGGCUUGUCCGGUCCAUUUGCUUUGGUGACUCUGGAUAACUUUGAGCUGAUCGCACGGUCCUCGUACCGGCGACGCAUCUUUCAAAUGUCUGCCUUAUCAACUGUCGGUGGUAGGUUCUGCACCUACCAUGGUUGUAACGGGUAACGGGGAAUCAGGGUUCGAUUCCGGAGAGGGAGCCCGAGAAACGGCUACCACAUCCAAGGAAGGCAGCAGGCGCGCAAAUUACCCACUCCCAGCACGGGGAGGUAGUGACGAAAAAUAACGAUACGGGACUCAUCCGGCGCCCCGUAAUCGGAAUGAGUACACUUUAAACCCUUUAACGAGUAUCCAUUGGAGGGCAAGUCUGGUGCCAGCAGCCGCGGUAAUUCCAGCUCCAAUAGCGUAUAUUAAAGUUGUUGCGGUUAAAAAGCUCGUAGUUGGAUUUGUGUCCCACGCUGUCGGUUCACCGUUCGUCGGUGUUUAACUGGCAUGCCCGUGCGGACGUCCUGCCGGUGGAUGCGGUCGGCCGUGGGCCUCUGGUCUGCGCGUCGGCGGUCCGAUGCAAUCCUACCGCGGUGCUCUUCACCGAGUGUCGAGGUGGGCCGGCACGUUUACUUUGAACAAAUUAGAGUGCUCAAAGCAGGCAGUGGUUCGCCUGAAUAUUGUGUGCAUGGAAUAAUGGAAUAGGACCUCGGUUCUAUUUUGUUGGUUUUCGGAACUUGAGGUAAUGAUUAAUAGGGACAGACGGGGGCAUUCGUAUUGCGACGUUAGAGGUGAAAUUCUUGGAUCGUCGCAAGACGAACCUAAGCGAAAGCAUUUGCCAUGAGUGUUUUCACUAAUCAAGAACGAAAGUUAGAGGUUCGAAGGCGAUCAGAUNUCCGGAUGUCCUGCCGGUGGAUGCAGUCGGCCGUGGGCCUCUGGUCUGCGCGUCGGCGGUCCGAUGCAAUCCUACCGCGGUGCUCUUCACCGAGUGUCGAGGUGGGCCGGCACGUUUACUUUGAACAAAUUAGAGUGCUCAAAGCAGGCAGUGGUUCGCCUGAAUAUUGUGUGCAUGGAAUAAUGGAAUAGGACCUCGGUUCUAUUUUGUUGGUUUUCGGAACUUGAGGUAAUGAUUAAUAGGGACAGACGGGGGCAUUCGUAUUGCGACGUUAGAGGUGAAAUUCUUGGAUCGUCGCAAGACGAACCUAAGCGAAAGCAUUUGCCAUGAGUGNCGUGUCAUGGCCAGACUUACCACACCUUCCGCAUAUACUUUCUGUUUCCCUACAUCUUUUACUAGUAUGUCCAUAACGCCAGCAUUUGUUGCAGCGCAUGGGUGAAAUAAAGUCCUUGAUUUUGUAGGCCUCCCAGUUACAAUAUACCCUGCUUUUAUUUUUUAAUAUUUUGUAGAUUUUAGGACUAGUUUCAAUAACAAUGUUUUUUCUGUUGUUUAUUAUUCGUGUUUCGAAACAAAAUUUUGUAUUAACUUUAUGUUCCUCUUCUU